AACUCAUUACAUCUACUCUCGUUACUGUACAAAGUCAGUCUUGUACCACGGUAGACUAUAGUACAAAAAAAAAUGUGAAAAAAAGUUGCAUGUAUGUUUAUUUAGCAGUGAUUUAAUGCACCACCCGGUCAGAAUGCUGAGUGACCCAAAUCAAACACACCCACGUCGGUUCGUCACCAACAGGUGCGUUCUGAGGUGGCUGAAAUGCUAAAUGCUAAAAGUGAUGUUGAUUCCUAUCUGAUCCGGGACUUCUGCGUUCACUGAGGAACUUUUUACCUUCAGUGAGGUGCGAGGACGUCCUGCUGUGUGUGACCUCUUCCUGCUCAACAUGUUGGAAAACUUUGAGGAGCUCAGUGGGACAGAGAUGCUAACUGUAGCCUGCUAGCUAAAGGAUGCUGGGACAGAGAGGCUAACUGUAGCCUGCUAGCUAAAGGAUGCUGGGACAGAAAGGCUAACUGUAGCCUGCUAGCUAAAGGAUACAGGGACAGAGAGGCUAACUGUAGCCUGCUAGCUUAAUGAUGCUGGGACAGAGAGGCUAACUGUAGCCUGCUAGCUUAAUGAUGCUGGGAAAGAGAGGCUAACUGUAGCCUGCUAGCUAAAGGAUGCUGGGACAGAGAGGCUAACUGUAGCCUGCUAGCUUAAUGAUGCAGGUAAAGAGAGACUAACUGUAGCCUGCUAGCUAAAGGAUGCUGGGACAGAGAGGCUUACUGUAGCCUGCUAGCUAAAGGAUGCUGGGACAGAGAGGCUAACUGUAGCCUGCUAGCUAAAGGAUGCUGGGACAGAGAGGCUAACUGUAGCCUGCUAGCUAAUGGAUGCUGGGACAGAGAGGCUAACUGUAGCCUGCUAGCUAAAGGAUGCUGGGACAGAGAGGCUAACUGUAGCCUGCUAGCUUAAUGAUGCUGGGACAGAGAGGCUAACUGUAGCCUGCUAGCUAAAGGAUGCUGGGACAGAGAGGCUGAGUGAACUGGACAUACAGUAUUCUGCUUUGAGAAUAAACGAGCAAAGAUGUACCUGGAGCAGAUUGUGGGGGACCUCUCGGUGCAUAAGACUCUCAGAAUGUCUCCAGAUACCCAGAAGAUCUCCGUCAUGAACUGAAGCUCUGCCUUGACGCUGUAGCAGUCGGGCCUCGCUCGGAUGUGACCCAGCACUUCUCUGAGAUCUCUUUGCUUCCUGUCCAUCAGAAGGACGGAGCAGCCGAAGGGGCUGAGGAGCUCCUCUCUCUCCAGAGCCAGCAGGUCUGGAAGGUACUGCUGGGGGUCGUGGUCCAUCAGCACCAGCUUGAGACCCUCACUGGUCCCGUGAUUAAGAUCAAGAAAUGAACGCAAAGUCGGGAUGGCCUCAGCUGAGCUGGAUGUCAACACCUGGAACUGCAGAGAAUCAGAAGAGCACAGGAAGAGAGGAGUAAGAGACAUCACUGGGAAAGACCGGCAGCAGCACGAAGAACAUGGCAAGAAAACAGACAUAAUUCAAUUUAAAAUGAAAAGAAAGAACAAAUUACAGAAUUAUAAGACACAACUCAUUCUUCAACAGAUGUGCCUUCUUCUCUUUUGGGCUUGUUUCUAAAAUAAAAACUCAAUUUCACCAGAAUAUGAGUCUUAAAGGAGAGAAAAUCAUCCAUUAUACUUUAGUAAAGUUAAAAGUUCAUUUCCCCUGGGUGUACCUGGGAGUGAUUGAAGCCAGCCACCAGUAUGAUUUCCUCCCCGAGCU